CUGGAGGUGGAAUAUCAGGAUAACAACACCUACAGCUGUGUGCUCAACAAUUCAUUCACUAAUCAGACUCAACAUCUGGACAUCACUCAACUCUGUCACACAUGUGCAAGUACAUCCACAAGUUAUUCACUGAGCUGAUCUCUGUCUUCUGUUGUAGAUCAGACUGAUUCAAUCACUUACAUUAAUGACUGUAUCUCUUUUACUCUCUUCCAGAUUCAGUGUCUCUGAUCGUGUUGAUCUCUGCAGCUGCUGCUGGAUCUCUGUUGAUUGUUGCUGCAGUCGUGAUCUUCUGCAUCUGCAGGAAAUCCCGGACACAGGAGAAAGACAAGACUGAUGCAGCACUGUACAAAUCAACAACUCGAAAAAAGAAAUUCAAGAAAGAGGCUGUGUAUGGAAAUAUCGGCCCAAAAAGGUGAUCAAAUACCGGGAUCUACUGGAAUAAACUAAUGUUAUAGAGCUCAUACAGGCCCUGACUUACACCUCGAUAGUUUACAUUCAUUCUGGAUGUGUUUUUUUUUUUCUUUUGACUGAUUUGUUUUCAAUUUUUCGAUUUCACAUUUUUUUUUUUUUUUUUUUUUUGAACAUGCACUCUCAUAAGAUAUUGUUAUGCCUGAAAUUUUGCUGCUUUAUGUAUUAGUUUAUUGGUUCACAAAUGCAUUCAGAAACUCAACUAAAUAUUAUAUUUUUAGCUUAACACGCAUGGAACUUUAGCCUAUUAAAUAUUGAUCUCACCCUUCAGUGUUCACUGUCACAUAGCCUACUCUUGUUUAAAUAAAUAAAAAAAUAUAAUAAAAUAAUAAAAUAAUAUCGAUUGCAUAGUGUUGUACAGUGAUCACAUCUGCUCUGCUUGAUAUUUUGGCAAAUUCAGCACAACCACAUCAUCUCUCUCUAGUGUGCAAAGCAGAAUAUCGCAUCUCUCUAAUUACA